rnacentral:ncRNA from 1 species
ACAACUAAAUAAUGUGUGCUAUAACUCUGUGUAGACCAAGAGCAUGGUGCAGAGAACACUACCCACCUGCGGGUAAGAAUAGCCUAGCCAAAACGAUAGCUUUGGUGACGGUCAAAGGCUUGCAUUGCGAGAUGUAAGAUGCCACCUAUGAAUAGAAUGGUUCUGGGGGUGUGUGCUAAAGCAAUCCUUGUUAAAAACACUGUCCUAUCGCUUCCACAAUAGAAGCUAAGCGUUAAAAGCGUAAGCCGAAUCCGAGGGCUGUGUCGCUGUGGCAAGCGGCAUAAGUACGGAAGUGCCACUAAGGAAGUUUGCUGUGAGAUUGUCGAAAGACAAAGUAUAAGAUAGGGUCAAGGUACGAGUAGCAAAAAGCAAUGACUGUAGUAAUUUUACAAGUCAAAUGAUGAAGAUUUGAAGAAAAUAAUUCUGAAUGCUUUGUGAAAGUUAAGGGUAGAAAGAGCCCCUUGUAAGAUUUGAUGGUUUCCAUCUAGGCAAGAUGUCAUAGGGUAGCUCCCUGUGGCACAGACUUGUCUACUUACUGGUUGAAUAUGACGAUGAUUGUGGAAGGUAGAACGAAGGUUCAUGGCACAUGUUAUUUAGUU